rnacentral:pre_miRNA from 1 species
GGCACAAACCGGUAGUAGAGUAAUUUAGUAGGGUUAGUCAAUUCUGCUAAUUUACCCUACUUCGAAUUUGGGCCC